rnacentral:rRNA from 1 species
UACGGAGGAGGCAAGCGUUAUCCGGAAUUAUUGGGCGUAAAGCGUCCGCAGGUGGCACCUCAAGUCUGCUGUCAAAGACCGGGGCUUAACCCCAGAAAGGCAGUGGAAACUGAAGUGCUAGAGUGCAGUAGGGGUAGAGGGAAUUCCCAGUGUAGCGGUGAAAUGCGUAGAGAUCGGGAAGAACAUCGGUGGCGAAAGCGCUCUGCUGGACUGCAACUGACACUCAGGGACGAAAGCUAGGGGAGCGAGUGGG